rnacentral:rRNA from 1 species
AACGAACGCUGGCGGCAUGCCUAACACAUGCAAGUCGAACGAGACCUCCGGGCCUAGUGGCGCUCGGGUGCGUAACGCGUGGGAACCUGCCCUUAGGUUCGGAAUAACUCCCUGAAAGGGGUGCUAAUACCGGAUAAUGUCUUCGGACCAAAGAUUUAUCGCCUUUGGAUGGGCCCGCGUUGGUUUAGCUAGUUGGUAGGGUAAAAGCCUACCAAGGCGACGAUCCAUAGCUGGUCUGAGAGGAUGAUCAGCCACACUGGGGCUGAGACACGGCCCAGACUCCUACGCAAGGGAGGAGUGGGGAAUAUUGGACGAUGGGGGAAAGGCUGAUCCAGCAAUGCCGCGUGAGUGAUGAAGGCCGUAGGGAAGUAAAGCUGUUUUACCCGGGAUGAUAAUGACGGUACCGGGAGAAUAAGCUCCGGCUAACUCCGUG